AAUGCUAGGAACUGGAUAUUUGUUUUCGUCCUGAGUCGGGAACAAUUUGAUUCAGAUGCAUCGCUACGACUUGGUCGAAGCAUUUCAUUGUGGCAAUGGUGAAAUGGGAUCCAUCCUACAGCACAAUGCUAGCCACACAUGACAGUGAAGAUAAUUAACUCAGACAGAACACAAGGAAAGUUCAUCAUCCUUCGCCUUCGUGACAGGCUCUGUCUUAGAUUGCCCAGUAUUCCUCCUCGGGAGAAGGCGAUGCUCUUUCGUUCCAUAGUGGAUCUGCGGAAGGCUGCAGCAGUUCCAGUCCUGGGGAGGUCCCACGCUGCUUCUCCCUCGCUCACUCUCGAAAGCGUCGCCCGUGGAAAAACGAGCAGCAAAGGAAAAUUCUGAACCGCCAAGAGACCCACUUUGCCUAACAGCAGUACCGGUCGGGCCUCUUUCUAGCAGCUGGCGUCUUCCGCUUCCUGCAGUCCGCUCCGUUCUCACCUGUUUGCCCAGCCCAUCGUUUAGUUUGCAAGCUGCUUGGCCCAGGGGACCAACUUUGUGUUUCCUCUGAAGCCCUCGGUAUGUUCACGGGCCUUAUAAAAUCAUCGUGACGCUGCAUCAAAGCAAGCGUUUAGCCAGAGAAAC